UUCAUCUAUCUUUAUUCACUCAACCUUUUUUCUGCAAUGAUAUUUGGCAAUUAACGUUGCUCGAGAAGGAAGCCGAACUUACAGAAGAGAACCAGAAACUGAAGCAGAAGUUGGUUCGAGAACAAUGUUAUGAGUCAAUCACUAGCAGUUCGUCUGAUUUUCCUCUAGACAAUGGUAGUUCUGACACAUCUCUCAAGUUGGGGCUGUGUUUAUUUGAAUGAAAUGGUUCAAGUGAACAGAUUAGCUUCCAUUUCUGUAUGAAAGACAAGAUCAGUGUUGUUUUUGGAAUUUGACAAACAAUUUGCUUUUGAGAGUAGCAGCUGGAAAAAUUUCACAGCUGGGGCAACUUAUUUUGUAACCUAAACAGAACCUCGUACUUGUCAUUAUGCCAUCGUGGCAGCUUAAACAGAUAGGAAUGGUUAUUUAUAAUU